rnacentral:rRNA from 1 species
AGUAACACGUGGGUAAUCUGCCCUUGAGUGGGGAAUAACUUUGGGAAACCGAAGCUAAUACCGCAUACGAUCCUUCGGGAUGAAAGCUUCAUGCGCUCAAGGAUGAGCCCGCGGUCGAUUAGCUAGUUGGUGGGGUAAUGGCUCACCGAGGCUACGAUCGAUAGCCGGCCUGAGAGGGCACACGGCCACACUGGCACUGAGACACGGGCCAGACUCCUACGGGAGGCAGCAGUGGGGAAUCUUGGUCAAUGGGGGAAACCCUGAACCAGCGACGCCGCGUGACCGAUGAAGGCCCUCGGGUCGUAAAGGUCUUUCGACGGGGACUAUAAUGAAGGUACCCGUAAAAGCAG